rnacentral:rRNA from 1 species
UGAGGAAUCAUGCGCAAUGGGGGCAACCCUGACGCUGCGACGCCGCGUGGACGAUGAAGGCUUUCGAGUCGUAAAGUCCUGUCGAGAGGGAAGAAAGUUUCCACGGCUAAUACCCGUGGAGAUUGACGGUACCUCUGGAGGAAGCCCCGGCUAACUCCGUGCCAGCAGCCGCGGUAACACGGAGGGGGCAAGCGUUGUUCGGAAUUACUGGGCGUAAAGAGCGCGUAGGCGGGAAUGUAAGUCGGGUGUGAAAGCCCUCGGCUCAACCGAGGAACUGCAUUCGAUACUGCAUUUCUUGAGUUCGGUAGGGGAUAGUGGAAUUCCUGGUGUAGCGGUGGAAUGCGUAGAUA